GUGAGGAAUAUUGCGCAAUGGAGGCAACUCUGACGCAGCCAUGCCGCGUGCAGGAAGAAGGCGCUACGCGUUGUAAACUGCUUUUAACCGGGAAGAAACCCCAGGACGUGUCCUGGGUUGACGGUACCGGAGGAAUAAGCACCGGCUAACUUCGUGCCAGCAGCCGCGGUAAUACGAAGGGUGCAAGCGUUAUCCGGAUUCAUUUGGUUUAAAGGGUGCGUAGGAGGAGCGUUAAGUCAGUGGUGAAAUCCUGCAGCUUAACUGUAGACUUGCCAUUGAUACUGGCGCUCUUGAGUGCGCUUGAAGUGGGCGGAAUGUGCCGUGUAGCGGUGAAAUGCUUAGAUAUGGCACAGAACACCAAUUGCGAAGGCAGCUCACUAAGGCGAUACUGACGCUGAGGCACGAAAGCGUGGGGAUCGAACAGGAUUAGAAACCCGAGUAGUCC
rnacentral:rRNA from 1 species